GACGAACGCUGGCGGCGUGCCUAACACAUGCAAUGGAGCGACGAACCAGACUUCGGUCUGGGGCCAAGCCGCGAACGGGUGAGUAACACGUGGGUAACCUGCCCCGAUGAUCGGGACAACCCGGGGAAACCCGGGCUAAUACCGAAUGUGGUCGCGGUCCGUGAGGACUGUGACGAAAGGAAGCUUCGGCCUCCGCAUCGGGCUGGGCCCGCGGCCCAUUAGCUUGUUGGUGGGGUAAUGGCCUACCAAGGCAUCGAUGGGUAGCUGGUCUGAGAGGACGAUCAGCCACACUGGGACUGAGACACGGCCCAGACUCCUACGGGAGGCAGCAGUGGGGAAUCUUGCGCAAUGCGCGAAAGCGUGACGCAGCAACGCCGCGUGGGGGAAGAAGGCUCUCGGGUCGUAAACCCCUUUCAGUUGGGACGAAGCUUCGCCGGUGAAUAGCCGGCCGGAGUGACGGUACCUUCACAAGAAGCCCCGGCUAACUACGUGCCAGCCGCCGCCGUAA
rnacentral:rRNA from 1 species